GCCCAACCUCUCCACCAGGCCAUCAGUGUGCAGGGCCUGGUGAUGGGGGUUCAGGGCCAACUUGGCAGCCAUGAUGCUGUUCCAUGCCCUGCUCAGCAGCCAUUUUGGCUGGAUCUCCGUGAGGAAGGGCUGGGGGUGGGGAGCAGAGGAAGUUUCUUGACCAGCUGCCAUGGAUAGAAGCUUGCUCACGGAAAGACUGUCUUUUAUGAUGCCAGAAACAGGGCUGAGAACUCACGAAGGCCAAGGCCCCCAGGACGACGAGACUGCCCUCCGAGCGGCCUGAGCCCAGAGACAGCAGCCUCCAUCGGACCCAAGGCCUCCGACCGCCCUGACGAACCUCAGCGGCAGCGCAGACGUCAGAGAGGUUUCUUUCGCAGGCAGCGAGGGGAAACUUGCAACGCAGAGAUACCAAGCCGCUUGACCUCCACUGUAACGGCCUCAAGUCUCCCCAUCGUCUGGGGGCUCUGCUGCUAAUUGGGUCGUAAAAGAUGAUCCUACUGCAUAGCUGUCUGCAAAGCGGGGCCCCCGUGACACAGGAUCAAUGAAAUGCAUAGCUGUCUGCAAAGCGGGGCCCCCGUGACACAGGAUCAAUGAAAUGCAGACCACAGGGUGGGCUUACCUGCUGACACUCUGGGCAGAGCCAGGACUGCAGAAGUCAGAGGGUGACUGGAUGCUCAGGAUGGGAGAGGCAAAGACUGGGGGAUGAAUCAUCCCUCCCUGGAGGCCUCCUCAUGCCUCUGACCCCCCAGGCUUCUGUUAAAGCGGCCAAAGCCCUCCUCACGCACUCCAGUCAGAACAUGGCCCCCUGGGGCUGCUUCGCAAAGGCCCACAGUCCCGCGAGACCCCGUCCAGAAAGAAGCCCCACGUCUGAGUGGCUCCACCUGGCAGUUCAUUCAUUCAUUCACUCAUUCGAGCAUCACUCGUUUACCGAGUACCUCUGACAAUUCUGGCACUGAGCUGCACCCUAGGAGUGCAUGAAUGGUGUGGCCAGGACCGUGGCUUUCCGUCUUGUCUGCUGUCACCUCCACAUUAAUAAAGCCCCGUGUUUAGUCGGGGGUGUGGCCACCCAGGCAUGAAACUGCACUUCCUGCCUCCCUUGCAGCUAGCUGUGGCCAUGUGAUUGCACCCUGGUUAACAAAACUAUGCAGGGUGUGGGGGGCCCUUCCUUCAAAAACAAACAAAAGAAACACAGUGGGCCCAAGCCCCUGGGUCCUUUCCUCUCAGUGGUCCUCUCUCCUGCUGGCUGGAAUGCAGAUGGGAGGGCUGAAGCUGAAGUGGCCAGUCUUGAGAAGGUGCCUGGGGACAGAGGACCCACAUGGUAGAGCAACAGACAAAGAAGCCACUUCUCUGGACGGCUGGAGGGAAACGCAUCUCUCCACCCUGGCCUGCCUUCCUCUAGACUUUAGUGUGAAAGAGAAAAACACAAAAUCUACCUUCUUUAAGCUACUGUGACUUAGGGUUUUCCAGCUGAGGAUAAUUGAAACCUACACAGCAGGUCAUGGUGCCACAUCCUGGUGCAGGGCUGUUGGCAGCACAGAAAGCCCACUGGCCUGGUCUCAGGGGAUUGGAGAGGCGUCCCGAGGGGUCUGUGUCUUGGCUGUGCCCUGUCAGGUGUGUUGGCCAAGGGAAGACGGGUAGGGAGGCAUUUCAGGGCUGGAGGUGGGAAGAAGUUCAGUGUGUUUGGAGAAGCUCUGGACUCUUCAGGGUGGUGGGGACCCCUGCUUUGCAUCUAUAAAAUACACCAGGCCUUAAAAUAUGUGACCUGUGAUUCAAAGGGAGAGGCUACUGGCUGGAGUGCAGUGGCGCCAUCUCUGCUCACUGCAACCUCUGCCUCCCAGGUUCAAGUGAUUCUCCUGCCUCAGCCUGCCCAGUAGCUGGGAUUGCAGGCACCUGCCACCACACCUGGCUAAUUUUUGUAUUUUUAGUAGAAAUGGGGUUUCACCAUGUUGGCCAGGCUGGUCUCGAACCCCCGACCUCAAGUAUCCACCAGCCUCGGCCUCCCAAAGUGCUGGGAUUAUAGACGUGAGCCACCAUGCCUGGCCUAGACUUCUGACUUUAAAGACUAGUAAAAACCUGAUUCUAUGCUCUUUGAAAAUCUGCACCUGCAGAAAUUCAUCACUGUCAUUUUGGCCUCGGAGAGACGCUUCUCAGCUGGGUUCAGGGCUGGAUGACUUGUCCUGUCUUCCUGCCCCGGUGGUUGACAUCCUCAGCCAGAUGUUAAGCCCCCUCCUCUCCUUAGGUUCAGACUCUCCCCUUUCAAAAUGCCAGCAAGUCCCAAAAGAACAGAUGAAGGCGAGGGGCCAGGACAAGACCAUCCCAUGGCGGGCUGGGUGUUGGGCUGGAUGGCUGCCCCCAUCCAGUGACAUAGGGCAAGGAAGUCCUGGCCAGAUGCCAAAGGAGCACCAGCAACUCCAAAUUCUUAUCCUGUGCGUGGCUCUGGGGAAUCAUUUUAUCAGAUCAGCCUUCAUACAAAUAAAUGAAUCCAUUGCCUCAGAGGGUCCCAUUGUUGUCAAACGGAAUCAGCAUGCCUCUGUUUUUAUUUCUGUGUAAAUAACAUCUGCUUCCAGAAUUACUAGAAUUUGUAGUAAUAAGUGCACACAUAAAGAGCUUAAAUUUCUACA
rnacentral:lncRNA from 10 species